rnacentral:rRNA from 1 species
UACAGGGGGGGCAAGCGUUGUUCGGAAUUACUGGGCGUAAAGGGUUCGUAGGUGGCCACUUAAGUCAGACGUGAAAUCCCUCAGCUUAACUGGGGAACUGCGUCUGAUACUGAGUGGCUUGAGUGCAGGAGAGGAAUGCGGAAUUCCAGGUGUAGCGGUGAAAUGCGUAGAUAUCUGGAGGAACACCGGUGGCCGAAGGCGGCGAACCUGGGUAGAUACUGACGCUGAGGUGCGAAAGCG